UCAACGAGUUGUCGAUAUUGUAACGCCCGUGAUCUGUUUGCGACUUUUGAUUAAGAAAAUAACGUGUCGAUUCCGCUGAUCGAACGCUUCAUCGAAAUAUCGACAUUAAAAAUGAAGUUUUCCAUGAAAGUGUUGCUCGCGUCGGCGUUGUUAAUCUUGAUCGUUUUAUCACCAGCGAUUUGUGAAGACGCGGAAAAUGAAGACUACGAAAACUACGAUGAUCCAUGGGGUGGUGUAUGGAACAGUACACAUUCUGGUUUACCGAAUAUAACUCAUACUGACGGUCAUAUCAUAAGUUUUCCAGAUAUAUCACAAAAAUGCCCAGAAAAUCAACGGCCAGACAAAGAUGGGAAAUGUCGAGUAGUAGAAUAAUUUUAUUCGCUAAAGUGCGAAUCUCGUUAAGCCUAGGUCGCUAAAAGACUGGUUAUUCAAGGAUAAAUCGAGAAGAAUGACGGACAAAAUGGGAAAAAUAUUAAUAACUGUGAUAACAACGCUGUAAUAGCGAUUUUAUUAGAUUAUAAUUUAUUGUGUCUAUGUAAAAGACAUUGUUCUUUUUUGAAACCAUCAGAUUCACAGUUAUAUAUAGUAAUAUUUGGCGAAUUGCAGUGAAAUAUCCCGAUUUAAAGUACCGCAUGAGAAUCAUGUUACAUAUUUAAAAAAAAAGUUUGCGCACUUACACACAUCUUAUAUGUAUAUAAGACGAUAUCUUCCUAAAAUCCUACAUUCGUUAAGUUAUCUGAUGCUGGUACUCGACGAGACACUCGAGACAAUUUCAAAUGACAUAAGGACGUAUGCAUUAUCUUUAUACCAGAUAUUUCCCUAUUAAAAUACAUAUUAAACAAAACGUU